rnacentral:lncRNA from 12 species
CCAUGAGGCUUCAUACAGCAUGAAACACGAAUACAAUGCAAUUACCGAUUCUGCAUUUAAUAGUAAACAUCUGGCAAUGAAGAGCUUUAUGAGGAUAAUCCUAUUGGGUCUUCUCAACAACCUUGGGAUAUUUCUCUAACCUUCUCCGGUUCUCCUUCAUGCCUGGAUAUAAAGACCUUACUACUGAUGGAAAGAUUAUCUUGGGAAACGUUGGCCCAAACUCAACGCUUUUUCCAAACAUCUGGUCUCAUUUCCUUCUGCUGGGCAAAUAGAUACCCUGGCGGAAUUCCAGUGCAGGACCCUCCAUGCAGGUACUCCUGGUGGAUCUGGUUUAGUAUAAGGGCAUCGGGAGCAGGCUCUUCUACAGUGCCAUGCCUUUGGUCUAGAAUGCUCUCAGAUUCUGCUACUGACAUGUCAGUGAAGCAAAAGGCCCCGGAAAACAACCUCUCUGCUUCAUGGGAAUUGCCAGUUGUAAAUGAACUUAGAUUACAGCAGGACUUCGAUGAGAAAGGUGAUGCAGAAGAGCAGAUGGGGUGGAAGCAGAAAAGGCAUGUUCAGAUUCGAUUGUAUCCACAGUAAGGACUGCUGAGCCCAACCAGAUGCUGAAAUCCAUCCCAGGGAUAAGGCUCCAUUUGGAGAGUGCAACCACCUUAUUAUCCUAGAGGCAAUUUAACAUCUGGAGACCCAAACGAAAUUGGGGGAAGGAGAAACUGUCAAUUGCAUAAAAAAAGAAGCAGCAUAAAGGGGUCUGCCUUUACUUUCUUGUCUGGGCUGUUUAUAUCAUCCAUCUUGACUUUAACCUUGUCUUUGAGCCCCACUCACAUCAGGCCUUGGACAAACCUAUAAACUUAAUGAGAAAAAUUCUGAGAGUUGGUGAAAGCAACAUACAUAGAAGUAGGGGCAAAUGGCUAUGACACAAAACCUCAUAUUUGGCAAAAGCUCAGAUGACAAGCGCUGGCAUGUGUAACUUCCUGGCCUCAAACUGAGAUGGGGAAAUGAAAGGAACCCCAUUAAAAAAAAAAAAAAAAAAAGCUGUUUUUUUUUUCCUUUUUUUCUUUUUUUUUCCUGCUUCUCUUCUUGCUAGACCGUGUAUCCCUGCCUUACACACAGCUUAAUGUCCUCCUUAUAAGGGACAAAGAGUUAUUGGUAUCUUUGGAGUUUCCCAGCACAAUAGGUAAUAUCUCAACCAUUGGUGCUAGACAUCAUGAUGCCAAAAGACCCCAGCUUCAAGGAAUAAACGACUUGUGAUGGAUACCUGGACCUUGUCC